AUCGAAAUGGAAGUUGUGAUUUUUGUGGUCAAGAAGAGACGGGGGGUGUUUAAAGUUAGCGUCCCGAUCCACACUCCAUUCCAGUAGAUGGCGGUAAUGCACAUCUAAAAGUUGCUUGCCAACCGCCAUAAAAAAGAAGAAGAAGAA